rnacentral:rRNA from 1 species
GACGAACGCUGGCGGCGUGCCUAAUACAUGCAAGUCGAACGCUGAAGGAGGAGCUUGCUUCUCUGGAUGAGUUGCGAACGGGUGAGUAACGCGUAGGUAACCUGCCUGGUAGCGGGGGAUAACUAUUGGAAACGAUAGCUAAUACCGCAUAAUAGUAGAUGCUGCAUGACAUUUGCUUAAAAGGUGCAAUUGCAUCACUACCAGAUGGACCUGCGUUGUAUUAGCUAGUUGGUGGGGUAACGGCUCACCAAGGCGACGAUACAUAGCCGACCUGAGAGGGUGAUCGGCCACACUGGGACUGAGACACGGCCCAGACUCCUACGGGAGGCAGCAGUAGGGAAUCUUCGGCAAUGGACGGAAGUCUGACCGAGCAACGCCGCGUGAGUGAAGAAGGUUUUCGGAUCGUAAAGCUCUGUUGUAAGAGAAGAACGAGUGUGAGAGUGGAAAGUUCACACUGUGACGGUAUCUUACCAGAAAGGGACGGCUAACUACGUG